rnacentral:rRNA from 1 species
GAUGAACGCUGGCGGCGUGCCUAAUACAUGCAAGUCGAGCGAACAGACGAGGAGCUUGCUCCUCUGACGUUAGCGGCUGACGGGUGAGUAACACGUGGAUAACCUACCUAUAAGACUGGGAUAACUUCGGGAAACCGGAGCUAAUACCGGAUAAUAUAUUGAACCGCAUGGUUCAAUAGUGCUAGACGGUUUUGCUGUCACUUAUAGAUGGAUCCGCGCCGCAUUAGCUAGUUGGUAAGGUAACGGCUUACCAAGGCAACGAUGCGUAGCCGACCUGAGAGGGUGAUCAGCCACACUGGAACUGAGACACGGUCCAGACUCCUACGGGAGGCAGCAGUAGGGAAUCUUCCGCAAUGGGCGAAAGCCUGACGGAGCAACGCCGCGUGAAUGAUGAAGGUCUUCGGAUCGUAAAACUCUGUUAUUAGGGAAGAACAAAUGUGUAAGUAACUAUGCACGUCUUGACGGUACCUAAUCAGAAAGCCACGGCUAACUACGUG